UGCGAACGCUGGCGGCAGGCUUAACACAUGCAAGUCGAACGGGCACUUCGGUGUCAGUGGCAGACGGGUGAGUAACACGUGGGAACGUACCUUUUGGUUCGGAACAACUGAGGGAAACUUCAGCUAAUACCGGAUAAGCCCUUACGGGGAAAGAUUUAUCGCCGAAAGAUCGGCCCGCGUCUGAUUAGCUAGUUGGUAGGGUAAUGGCCUACCAAGGCGACGAUCAGUAGCUGGUCUGAGAGGAUGAUCAGCCACAUUGGGACUGAGACACGGCCCAAACUCCUACGGGAGGCAGCAGUGGGGAAUAUUGGACAAUGGGGGCAACCCUGAUCCAGCCAUGCCGCGUGAGUGAUGAAGGCCCUAGGGUUGUAAAGCUCUUUUGUGCGGGAAGAUAAUGACGGUACCGCAAGAAUAAGCCCCGGCUAACUUCGUGCCAGCAGCCGCAGUAA
rnacentral:rRNA from 1 species